rnacentral:rRNA from 1 species
GAUCAUGGCUCAGGAUGAACGCUGGCGGCGUGCUUAACACAUGCAAGUCGAGCGAAGCAAUUUAAGUGAAGUUUUCGGAUGGAUCUUAAAUUGACUGAGCGGCGGACGGGUGAGUAACGCGUGGAUAACCUGCCUCACACAGGGGGAUAACAGUUAGAAAUGACUGCUAAUACCGCAUAAGCGCACGGUACCGCAUGGUACAGUGUGAAAAAACUCCGGUGGUGUGAGAUGGAUCCCG